CCCAACCCCCUCGUGCUCUCUCUGCUCACUCCUCUUCGGCUGGCUGCUUGCCGGCGCUCCGGGGAGAAGACUAGCGACUUCAGGUCUGCUGCGGCAGCGGAAGCGGAUGCGAUCGAGCUCGCGCCCCUGAAUCCGAUCCAGGGGAGGAGUCGCGAGGACGGGUUCAAGUUUUACAAACUCACUUGGUGACAGCAAACAAGAUGUCAUUACAUAUUGGUCGGCUUUCCCAAGAUGUGCGUCAAAGUUAUCUGGAACAUCUUUUCCAGAGGUUCGGCCGUUGCACUGUGAACCUGAAAGAUGGAUACGGGUUUGCAGUGUAUGAUUCUGAUGAUGAUGCAACUCGGGCCCUGCAGGCCCUGCAUGGGAAAUAUGUUUGUGGGGAGCGCAUCACUGUCAAUUGGUCAAAACAGCAGCCUAGAAUUUCUCAGGGUUUCAGGAGGAGUUCAAGAUUUGUUGAAUCAUUUCGUGGUAGGAACUUUAGAGAUGCUCGGGACAAUAUUAGGUUCAGGGAUUCUGUAGUUCGGAAGAAUCAUCCAGCAGAUCACGAUCAGGGUCAUAAUCCUGAUGCUGUGCCAGAAAAGGAAUCUGAUAAGUUUGUGGAGGUUGUCAAUGAUGCUGGAGAAAAUGAUGGUGGUGAUCUAGAGGAGGUAAAGAGGGAUGAAGGUGGUACAGUUGAUGAAGAUCCAGGGGAAGUGAAGACGGAUGAAGGUGGAAAAGGCGAUGCAAAUGCAAUUGAGCAUGAUAGAUGGGCUGAGACUGGAAAAGGUACCCCUGGUGGAGAUGGUGAUGAUUUUGACCGCUAUGAGCCUUAUCAUGGAUAUGAUAGGCAAGAAGAAACAGAAAAUGUGACUAAAGCAAGCUCUUAUGAUUCUCGUGAACACAGGCGUUCUUCAGACAAGAUGCAAGAGCACUCGGAUAGGCGUGUUGACAUAAGCCAUGAUAAAUCAAGAUCUCCUCCAACCUGUUACAGUUGUGGCGUUACCGGCCAUAUUGCGCGUAAUUGCCCUCAGGGAAUAGAUGAUAACUUCAAAGCAAGGAGAGAUGGAUUGAACUUCAGGGAGAAAUGGCAGCUGAGGCAGAGAAGAUUUGGGUCUCCCUCAAGGAGGCGGCCAGAAUUUCAUGUUGAUCCUUUGGAUCAAACAAAUUAUAGAGUUCAAGAUGGUAGGAAACCAUUUUCUGAUAGGAAUAUGAGAGUGCCUGGGUUGAGUACAGCACCCAGAGACAGCAGAAGACAUGCCCACUGCAGUGAAAACAUGCCACAAACAAAUAAGGAAGCACGCAAGAGAAGCAGAUCUGAAAGAUCACGUGCAUUAUCCCCCUCUUCUGAACCUUCAAGGCACUCUCACCAUGAUAAUGUUAAGGGAUCUCAUUCCAAGAGGACUUCCUCAGAUUCAAGAUCUAGGUCUCGAUUCAGAGCACAUUCUCCAUCAUAUUCUGCACAUUCUAGUGCAAAAUCAGCUCAACCAACUGAGCAUGAAGGAUCAAGAUCAAAUAUCAAUCAUGCUGUUCCAUUUUCAGUAUCUACUUCACCACAGCACAAGUCAUCAUCUGAUGUAGAGAACAAAAAUCUAGAUGGCCUGACGAAUUCUCCCUUGGAGGACAAUUUGGAGUUCUGGACAAGAUCUGAAGUAAAAAAUAUGGUUGAUAACAAGCAAGAAGGAAAGGGUUCAGUACUGAACAGCACAGUCCUGAAUGGGAAAGCACUUGUUCCUGAUAAGGAUGCUAAUGCUGCUGGUUGCACAGGGGUUAACUUCGAUAAGAACUUGGUUGAUGAUAAUGCUGCCAAUGGAAUGCAAAGCCAGAAUGCCAACUUUGAGGACUCUUCAUCAAUGAAGUCAAAGCAGGAUGUUCUGGCCAAAAAUGGGAGAAACAAGUCAUUGAAACUAACAACUAAUGAAGUGAUCGCAGCUCUGAAGCACUAUGGGGUGGAGGCACAAGAGGAUUCAUCAGAUCAACCUGUGGAGAAGUACUUUGGUGCUGCACGCCUGUGGCCUUGGGAAAUCAUUUACUAUCGCAGGCGUAAGAAAGGUCCAAUAUCUACAGAGAAUUAUGCUAAGCGACUUGAGCAGAACAAAGAAUUUGGUAUUGUGGAUCAAUAUGUCAGAAGCAGCAGUGGUUGGUGGGAGUGCCAUUGAAGUGUCAGGUGUCUAGUUGCUUACGAGGCUUUGCAUGAAUAUGUCCUUUGCACUCAUGAGUGCAUUUUGAGGAUGACAAGGGUGUUCCCCCACAUUACAUAACAUCUGGAUAGGGCGAACUAUAUAUUGCUCAUUCGCUUGUUCCGUUUUGGAGUUUGGAAGGUCAAUGAGGCCCUGUUACAAAGCUGCAGGUGUGCUCCUCUACUCUGAGGAUGCUUCCUUCCUUGCUUGCUCUGAGGAGGGCUCUUGCUCGGUGGGGAAGAAGAGAUUGGCAGCAAGUAUUUAUAGCCAAGUCAUGGAGGUCAAUUGGUUUUCUUAAAUGCCGCACUGUUGAGGAGUACUUGCAUCUUGUUUAAUCGGCCAUAUUAUACUCCACCCUAAACACACUCACUCGUCACUUCAUUGCCCACAUUCAUGUUUCUGUUUUAUGGGGCGGAGAGGUCAGGGGUGGUGGUGGCGGGCAGCCUGGCGGUGGCAGAGGCGAGGCGAUCCGAGAAGCAACGAGCUCGGUGGAAGAGGAGGACGGCGGUGAUGGUGGAUUGGUGGUGGAAAACGACCUGAGGAAGGUGGCGGCGGCCAUGAGAGGGACGCAGGUAGGUUGGUCGCCGGAGAUGGGGUUGUUGCAGCUGUGGCGGAGAACCAAGAUCUCUCUGAGUCUCAGGUUGGAAGCCAGGUGCCCCAGAUGCAGCGACAGGACGUACGGAUCUUCGGAGCUGGAGGUGAUGUGGUUAGGACAUCGUUAGACGAUAACCGUGCCUCCGUGUCACCACCGUCUCCUGCCCUCGUCAGCAAAAACAUACUACUACUACUACUAUAGCGAUGUGGUUUUUUUUUCCUUCUUACCUUUCGAGUUUCGA